rnacentral:rRNA from 1 species
GAGUUUGAUCCUGGCUCAGAAUCAACGCUGGCGGCNGCNCUCAGACAUGCAAGUCGAACGCGAAAGUUCCCUUCGGGGAGCGAGUAGAGUGGCGCUCGGGUGAGUAACACGUAGGUAAUCUACCUUUGGGUGGGGAAUAACAGCCGGAAACGGCUGCUAAUACCGCAUAAUGCAGCGGCUCGACAUCGAGACAGUUGUUAAAGCGGGGGAUUCCGCAGGGAACCUCGCGCCUAAAGAGGAGCCUGCGGCAGAUUAGCUAGUUGGUAAGGUAAUGGCUUACCAAGGCUUCGAUCUGUAGCCGGCCUGAGAGGGCGGUCGGCCACACUGACACUUAAAUACGGGUCAGACUCCUACGGGAGGCAGCAGUCGGGAAUUUUGGGCAAUGGGCGAAAGCCUGACCCAGCAACGCCGCGUGAAGGAUGAAAUCCCUCGGGAUGUAAACUUCGUAAGAACAGGAAGAAUAAGUGGGGGACAACACCCCCCAUGAUGACGGUACCGUUUGUAAGCUCCGGCUAACUCCGUGCCAGCAGCCGCGGUAAUACGGGGGGAGCAAGCGUUGUUCGGAUUUACUGGGCGUAAAGGGCGCGUAGGCGGUCAGCGCAAGUCAGUUGUGAAAUCUCUGGGCUUAACUCAGAACGGUCAACUGAUACUGCGCGACUAGAGUGCAGAAGGGGCAACUGGAAUUCUCGGUGUAGCGGUGAAAUGCGUAGAUAUCGAGAGGAACACCUGCGGCGAAGGUGGGUUGCUGGGCUGACACUGACGCUGAGGCGCGAAAGCUAGGGGAGCGAACGGGAUUAGAUACCCCGGUAGUCCUAGCCUUAAACGAUGAAUGCUUGGUGUCUCGGGUUAUAAAGUCCCGGGGUGCCGUCGCUAACGCAUUAAGCAUUCCGCCUGGGGAGUACGGUCGCAAGACUGAAACUCAAAGGAAUUGACGGGGACCCGCACAAGCGGUGGAGCAUGUGGUUUAAUUCGACGCAACGCGAAGAACCUUACCCAGGCUUGACAUCGCGUGUAAAGCCAUGAAAGUGGCUCCUCCCUUCGGGGACACAAAGACAGGUGUUGCAUGGCUGUCGUCAGCUCGUGUCGUGAGAUGUUGGGUUAAGUCCCGCAACGAGCGCAACCC